UACAGAGAGUGCAAACGUUGUUCGGAAUCACUGGGCAUAAAGCGCACGUAGGCGGCCUUUCAAGUGUGGAGUGAAAUCCCACGGCUCACCCGUGGAACUGCUUCGCAUACUGUUUGGCUCGAGGAUGGUAGAGGAGAGCGGAACUCCUGGUGGAGCGGUGAAAUGCGUAGAUAUCAGGAGGAACACCGGUGGCGAAGGCGGCUCUCUGGUCCAUUUCUGACGCUGAGGUGCGAAAGCUAGGGUAGCGAAC
rnacentral:rRNA from 1 species